UGGGGAAUUUUGGACAAUGGGCGCAAGCCUGAUCCAGCCAUGCCGCGUGUGUGAAGAAGGCCUUCGGGUUGUAAAGCACUUUCGGACGGAACGAAAUCGCGCGAGUUAAUAGCCCGCGUGGAUGACGGUACCGUAAGAAGAAGCACCGGCUAACUACGUGCCAGCAGCCGCGGUAAUACGUAGGGUGCGAGCGUUAAUCGGAAUUACUGGGCGUAAAGGGUGCGCAGGCGGCCCCGCAAGUCAGGCGUGAAAUCCCCGAGCUCAACUUGGGAAUGGCGCUUGAAACUACGGGGCUGGAGUGUGGCAGAGGGAGGUGGAAUUCCACGUGUAGCGGUGAAAUGCGUAGAUAUGUGGAGGAACACCGAUGGCGAAGGCAGCCUCCUGGGCCAACACUGACGCUCAUGCACGAAAGCGUGGGGAGCAAACAGGAUUAGAUACCCUGGUAGUCCACGCCCUAAACGAUGACGACUAGUUGUUGGAGGAGUUAAAUCCUUUAGUAACGAAGCUAACGCGCGAAGUCGUCCGCCUGGGGAGUACGGUCGCAAGAUUA
rnacentral:rRNA from 1 species